CCUACGGGAGGCAGCAGUGGGGAAUAUUGGACAAUGGGCGAAAGCCUGAUCCAGCAAUGCCGCGUGAGUGAUGAAGGCCUUAGGGUUGUAAAGCUCUUUUACCAGGGAUGAUAAUGACAGUACCUGGAGAAUAAGCUCCGGCUAACUCCGUGCCAGCAGCCGCGGUAAUACGGAGGGAGCUAGCGUUGUUCGGAAUUACUGGGCGUAAAGCGUACGUAGGCGGUUAUUCAAGUCAGAGGUGAAAGCCUGGAGCUCAACUCCAGAACUGCCUUUGAAACUAGAUAGCUAGAAUCUUGGAGAGGUGAGUGGAAUUCCGAGUGUAGAGGUGAAAUUCGUAGAUAUUCGGAAGAACACCAGUGGCGAAGGCGACUCACUGGACAAGUAUUGACGCUGAGGUACGAAAGCGUGGGGAGCAAACAGGAUUAGAUACCCUGGUAGUCCACGCCGUAAACGAUGAUAACUAGCUGUUCGGGCUCUACGAGCUUGUAGUGGCGCNGCUACGACAUUAAGUUAGUCCGUCCGUCGGGGUAGGUACGGUCGCGAGAAGUUAAACGUUAACUAAAUUAGAAGUUAGUUACGGCGUGAGACGUUGCCGACGGACGACGACGAGGGGAGGUUAGG
rnacentral:rRNA from 1 species